UAGGGAAUAUUGGGCAAUGGAGGGAACUCUGACCCAGCCAUGCCGCGUGCAGGAUGAAGGCGUUAUGCGUUGUAAACUGCUUUUAUAUAGGAAGAAAUAGUCCUUGCGAGGAAAGUUGACGGUACUAUAUGAAUAAGCACCGGCUAACUCCGUGCCAGCAGCCGCGGUAAUACGGAGGGUGCAAGCGUUGUCCGGAUUUAUUGGGUUUAAAGGGUGCGUAGGCGGUUUAUUAAGUCAGUGGUGAAAGACGGUCGCUCAACGAUUGCAGUGCCAUUGAUACUGGUAGACUUGAGUAUGAUUGAGGUAGCUGGAAUGGAUAGUGUAGCGGUGAAAUGCAUAGAUAUUAUCCAGAACACCAAUUGCGUAGGCAAGUUACUAAGUCAUAACUGACGCUGAGGCACGAAAGUGUGGGUAUCAAACAGGAUUAGAUACCCUAGUAGUCCCUGAGCGGGCUGGCAAGGCGCAU
rnacentral:rRNA from 1 species